AUUGAACGCUGGCGGCAUGCCUUACACAUGCAAGUCGAACGGCAGCACGGGAGCUUGCUCCUGGUGGCGAGUGGCGAACGGGUGAGUAAUACAUCGGAACGUACCCUGAAGUGGGGGAUAACGUAGCGAAAGUUACGCUAAUACCGCAUAUUCUGUGAGCAGGAAAGAGGGGGAUCGCAAGACCUCUUGCUUUAGGAGCGGCCGAUGUCGGAUUAGCUAGUUGGUGAGGUAAAGGCUCACCAAGGCGACGAUCCGUAGCGGGUCUGAGAGGAUGAUCCGCCACACUGGGACUGAGACACGGCCCAGACUCCUACGGGAGGCAGCAGUGGGGAAUUUUGGACAAUGGGCGCAAGCCUGAUCCAGCCAUGCCGCGUGAGUGAAGAAGGCCUCGGUUGUAAGCUCUUCGUGGGAGAAGU
rnacentral:rRNA from 1 species